rnacentral:rRNA from 1 species
CAGUCGCCGCGGGAAUACAGAGGGUGCGAGCGUUAAUCGGAUUUACUGGGCGUAAAGCGUGCGUAGGCGGCUUCUUAAGUCGGAUGUGAAAUCCCUGAGCUUAACUUAGGAAUUGCAUUCGAUACUGGGAAGCUAGAGUAUGGGAGAGGAUGGUAGAAUUCCAGGUGUAGCGGUGAAAUGCGUAGAGAUCUGGAGGAAUACCGAUGGCGAAGGCAGCCAUCUGGCCUAAUACUGACGCUGAGGUACGAAAGCAUGGGGAGCAAACAGGAUUAGAUUCCCCAGUAGUCCCUGUCUCUUAUAC